UUGGGGUUCCUCAGAUUCCUCCUGAUCACAGAUGGGCUCUUGUUGGCUCCAAGGGCUUGGUUUGGAGGCUGGGGAAAGAGGGCC